rnacentral:rRNA from 1 species
UCAACGGAGAGUUUGAUCCUGGCUCAGGAUGAACGCUGGCGGCGUGCUUAACACAUGCAAGUCGAACGAUGAUCCGGUGCUUGCACCGGGGAUUAGUGGCGAACGGGUGAGUAACACGUGAGUAACCUGCCCUUAACUCUGGGAUAAGCCUGGGAAACUGGGUCUAAUACCGGAUAUGAC